UGGCGAACGGGUGAGUAACGCGUGAGGAACCUGCCUCAAAGAGGGGGACAACAGUUGGAAACGACUGCUAAUACCGCAUAAGCCCACGACCCGGUAUCGGGAAGAGGGAAAAGGAGCAAUCCGCUUUGAGAUGGCCUCGCGUCCGAUUAGCUAGUUGGUGAGGUAACGGCCCACCAAGGCAACGAUCGGUAGCCGGACUGAGAGGUUGAACGGCCACAUUGGGACUGAGACACGGCCCAG
rnacentral:rRNA from 1 species